UACGAAGGGGGCUAGCGUUGCUCGGAAUCACUGGGCGUAAAGCGCACGUAGGCGGAUCUUUAAGUCAGGGGUGAAAUCCUGGAGCUCAACUCCAGAACUGCCUUUGAUACUGGGGAUCUCGAGUCCGGAAGAGGUGAGUGGAACUCCGAGUGUAGAGGUGAAAUUCGUAGAUAUUCGGAGGAACACCAGUGGCGAAGGCGGCUCACUGGCUCGAUACUGACGCUGAGGUGCGAAAGCGUGGGGAGCAAACAGG
rnacentral:rRNA from 1 species